rnacentral:rRNA from 1 species
GGUUAAGUGACUAAGCGUACACGGUGGAUGCCUUGGCAGUCAGAGGCGAUGAAGGACGUAGUAACUUGCGAUAAGCUCAGAUUAGGCAGUAACAGCCACUUGAGUCUGAGAUUUCCGAAUGGGGAAACCCAACUGCAUAAGCAGUUACUGUUAACUGAAUACAUAGGUUAACAG